UACGGAGGGUGCAAGCGUUAUCCGGAUUCACUGGGUUUAAAGGGUGCGUAGGUGGGUAAGUAAGUCAGCGGUGAAAUCUCCGAGCUUAACUCGGAAACUGCCAUUGAUACUAUUUAUCUUGAAUAUUCUGGAGGUGAGCGGAAUAUGUCAUGUAGCGGUGAAAUGCUUAGAUAUGACAUAGAACACCAAUUGCGAAGGCAGCUCACUACGGAGUCAUUGACGCUGAGGCACGAAAGCGUGGGGAUCAAACAGG
rnacentral:rRNA from 1 species